ACGAAAAAAAUAAUAAUCUUUGCUGUGAUGUGAAUGUUCAUAAUCUAUUUUCUAUGAUAUAUUUAUGCGAAGAAAGCAACUUCUGUUUCUUUGAAUGUAGUCUUGAAACAACCCAUCAUGUGUUCGUGAUUACAAUUGCUUUAUCAAAGAAGGAGCUUGAUUCGUCAUCUGUUGGGUAAUCACGGAAUCAACAAUGUUGGUUUUUUAUUUGCUCUUACUGAUAUGCAGGUAUCAACCACUUAUUGCAGCGGAUUAAGUGCAACCAUUAGUUGAAUAUGAAUAUAGAGUUGGCAUAAGAUGUUCAUGGUCCACCUAACAUACGAGGAAGAGGGCGUGAAAGAGUGGUAAUUAUAAAGGACGUUGAAGUGUGGAACCUUAGAUGAGUUGUGAGAAGGGACCACACCAUUUUUUGAUGAUUCUGGAUCAGGUAGACCGAGAUGAGGCGACAUUGGGUAAUCAUUUGGAUUAUACGAUCAAGUUUCUGGAUCUAGCUGGAACUUCCUGUAUCGUGUUCUGACCUAUGUCUUUCUUAACAUAUGGACUAUAGUUCUUUAUCCAAUUCACGACCAUAUACUAAUGAAUGUGAAAUCGGUACCUAUUAAAUAGAAUGCAAUCACUUUGGAUUAUUAUAAA